rnacentral:rRNA from 1 species
CGAACUGUGCAAACGUUAUUCGGAAUCACUGGGCUUGAAGAGUGCGUAGGCGGUUUCGUAAGUAGGGUGUGAAAGCCCCCGGCUCAACCGGGGAAUUGCGCCCUAAACUGCGAGGCUGGAGUGAGGUAGGGGUGUGUGGAACUUCCAGUGGAGCGGUGAAAUGUGUUGAUAUUGGAAGGAACGCCGGUGGCGAAAGCGACACACUGGACCUUGUCUGACGCUGAGGCACGAAAGCCAGGGGAGCAAACGGGAUUAGAUACCCCGGUAGUCCUGGCCGUAAACUAUGAGUACUAGUGGGGAGGGUCGCAAGGCCUUCCUCACGGAGCGAAAGUUUUAAGUACUCCGCCUGGGGAGUAUGGUCGCAAGGCUG